GACGCACCGUGCGAACGUUGUUCGGAAUCACUGGGCUUAAAGGGUGCGUAGGCGGGUCUUUAAGUCCGGGGUGAAAUCCUGGAGCUCAACUCCAGAACUGCCUUUGAUACUGAGGAUCUUGAGUUCGGGAGAGGUGAGUGGAACUGCGAGUGUAGAGGUGAAAUUCGUAGAUAUUCGCAAGAACACCAGUGGCGAAGGCGGCUCACUGGCCCGAUACUGACGCUGAGGCACGAAAGCGUGGGGAGCAAACAGG
rnacentral:rRNA from 1 species